UCUUUCUUCUCAAACAUUUGGAAGGUUGUGCAUCUCCAUUAAUUCUAUGUUGGCAAUUCAUUAACCUCUUCACUAAUUUUAUGUUUGGAAGGUUUUACAGGAAGAACAGAUCAUUUGGUAGGAUAAGGAAUUGAAGGAUGUCCUAUUUGGAACUUAAAUGUGUUUGCCUGCUUAGGACAACUUCCUCGCAGAUUGUACUUGGCUGCUAGCAUGCACUCCUCCCUUUCCUUCCUACGGGGCCCACUCAACACAAUUGACCACGCAAAAACCAUAUCCCCCUUUUCCACGCUCUGGAGCUGAUCCAUGGCAUUCAUUGACGCCUGCAGAAGCGUCAUCUCUUUCAUGCCUUUUGCAUAAGUUGGCAUGGGUACAACUCCUCGCCACCAUCCUUGGAGAUAUCUGAACAAGAUUAUUGAUCACAAAGGUAAUUUGUAGCAUCACCUUCCUAUUAUUAUGAACCAUAAAAGAGAAAAUCAUCACUGAUGGUUCUAGGCUUCUAGCUGAGCACUGAGCACUCAACUAGAAACUCCAAUUAAUAAUUGAAUAAUGGAUGCUUGAACCCACCAUCACCUCUGCCCCCACCCACGCCUCUUCCCCUCUGCAGGUAUGGAAUAUUACAAUUGAGUCACAGUAAUAGAUAUCAUGAUUCAUACUCUUUCAGAAUCAAAUGUAUAGGACGAAUUGGUUCUCACAAGUACUAAACACAUUGUUAUCGUGGUGGGCUUUUGGGCAACUAGAAUACAAUCAAAUUCAUUUAUAUCUUGUUCAACAAACACCAUAUUGCAUUUGGAGUGUCAUAGAACCUAGUUUUUCUUUGUACCAAACUUGACACUUGUAUCUGUUUGUUUUUUGGUUUGAGAGCCCAGCUUCAUGGUACAUUUCACCUUUAAUGUUUUGCCCUAUAUUCAGUUGUUGAAAUUUUUUUUUUUUGUAUGUGCUUAUGCAUGUGCUGAUAUCUUGUUCAUAUGCUUAUGUUGAACUCCUGCAACAAGAGAGUUUGCAUUCCCUGUAAUCCUUCAAUUGAAAGUCUUAUUUAUGUUGAUGGUUUAUCCA